GCUCGGUUAGUUCAGUCGGUAGAGCAUCAGACUUUUAAUCUGAGGGUCAUGGGUUCAAGUCCCAUAUUGGGCG
rnacentral:tRNA from 1 species